AGAGAGAGAGAGAGAGGGAAAGAAGGUGAGGCUUGGUUUUUUUUUCCCCCCCUCCGCGUGCAUUCGUCAGGCUUGCUUCCUUCUCCGGUGGUCGUUGCCGCUGCCGCUGCCGUUGCCGCCGCCCAGCCGUCUGCGUGUGACCAUCCCGCCAUCGGCGCACGGAGCGGAGAGAGAAACCGCUGUGAGCUCGCUGUUCCCGCCAUUCCCGCCGCGAGGCUCACGCACGCGCUCACGCACGCAGCGUUCAGGUACCGCACGCCCAGGUGUUCCAGCGCCACGAGCUCAGAGAAACUGGAAAGGCAGUUUCAACUGCAGUACGAUUCCAAUUCCCGGCUCGUCCCGAACCAGCGUCUCCAAGGCAACCAUCUGAGAGUACAACCAUGGAUCCGAAGGUAAAUGAAUGUUCCUCCACCUCCCCACAGAAACAGAUCAUGAAAAGCAACAGAUCCAAGUCCACAGAGGAGGUCCAGCAAGCCAAGAAGGCCUUCCACACUCCCCAGAAGUCUCUGCCUGGACGGUCAGACCUGGAGAAGCUAAAGGAGGAGACCCCAGAGGGUUCAGACACACCCUCAGCUUCGUCUGAGGAGCUGAAAUGAUCCUGUGAAGUAACAAGUCAGCCUUCUUGGUUCAAGAGGUCAAUGAUGGUCAUUUGUUAUCCAGUGGCCAUACCCACUAACAUACCCACACACACACACUUGUGCACACAUAUGCAUGUACGCACACACACACACACAUAUGCACACACACACACACACAUACAAAUACAGAAACACACACACACAUAUGCACACACAUAUGCACACACACACACACACACACACAUACAAAUACAGAAACACACACAUGCACACAUGUGCACAUAUACACACACAGAUUUCCUCUCUAUGUCUACUCUGAUGGACAGUACUUGGGACCAAUAGGAGAGAUGACAUAUAAACAGUGAUGUAAGCUCCCAUCUCAUCUCUCUCCCUCACACACCCACACACACAUGCACACACAUAUAAUCGCACACACACACACACACACACACACACACACUUUCCCUCCCUCUACGUCCACUCAGAGAUAAAGCAUUAUAAUGUCAUUCUGCUGUAUUUGUCAACUGAAUGUGAGUUAUCAAUAAAGCUUUGCGCUCGAGUGAUCUUC